UGCUGACUUUUACAGACACAUCUUCGAACUAUUAAGCUAAGUAAUAUCCAAACUAUUUUUUAUUGUUGUGGAAGCAUGUGGUGGAUGCUGUGGUAUGCCUUCUGCGUUGCCCCUUCAGGUCUGAAGCGUGCAUUUCCACACCUGCGAGAAGUAUUGGCUGUAGACAUUUCAUGGCUGAGUACCACUUUGGAGAUUGCUCUAGAAUAAAGGGAGCUGCUUUGCUCAAGGUUAUACCCUCUUACUGGAGUUAGCUCACAUCAAAGAACUGGUCUAUGCAGAUGUACGAAGACCUGGCCUUUUUGUCUCAAUUCUGGAAAACUUGGAAGAGCCAUUCUAGCUCCUGGGCUCUUGAAGGACUGGCUAAGACCUGUUAGAAUUGCACACUGACGUUCAACUUCCCCCUCUGUCCAAUUCUUAUUUCUCAUUCUUUUAUAAGUAUUGUUCCAUCUUAGAAUCUGUUUCCUAGGGAACCCAAUUUAAACACCAGUUAGAAUGUCUGAGGAAGCAGAAUCUAAAAUGCAACUUUGAAGCUGGAUCCCUUGCUGGCUGCAGGGAAAUGAGAACCCUGCCACUGGUAUUAGGUGGGGAAAUGAUAGCCCCUAGCAUGCUAUAGCAGUGCAGUUGUUAGAACUUUUACAAGUUCUGAGCUGGAAUAGGACACGAGUGGAAGAAUCAUAUCUUCGCAUCUGAAAGAAGGCAACAGCAUUGAGCAACAAUCUGGGACUCUAUUUGAUAUCUUCCCUUGAGAAGUGUUAAAUGUUGCCAUAAUCUUGACAGUUCAAAAGUUAGUCAUGUGGUUGAUAUUUUACCAAUGAGAUGAAUGUGACUGUAAUAUGGGCAAAUCCCACCUACCAUAAAAGCUGGCAAUACUUGCCUAAUAUUGAAGGAAGGAGACAUUUAGAGCAAGCCAGGAAGCUGGAACACCGGAUCAGGAACAGACACUUCUCCGCAAGUUUAGAGUUUGGUAUUUCUCAAGUCCUGGCCUGAGGGAUGUUUACUCUCAGGUUAUACAAAGUCCCAGCUUGGGUUCUGGAAAAAUUGAACUGACAACUUUGCCUGAAAGAAGUUUCUUGCUAACUCCUAGGUACAUCUUGAUUUUAUUAGACCAUGGCUAUUAUUGUGAGGUUUAUUCAGAGCAAUGAAGAUGUCACUCACCGUGUCAAAUUCAUAGGUAUGGUGGCCUUUAUUACCUGGCAACAUGCAUUUUGUUAUACAUCAAAUCCAUGUAGGGCCAUAUUAUCUGGAUCUCAGAUGUUACUGAGAAAUGUUGUAAGGUAAAUAGAUUUUUUGGGGAAUAUCUUGGACUUAGCACACUUUACUUAAUAGAAAUAUAUUUAUUGUCUUCACUUUUAAGUUACUCUGCCACUUUGCCAUUCAACCUCUAUUGGCUCUUUAUUAACUUCAAUUAGAUUUUUCCUUCUCUUUUCCUUUAGAGAUAAAAUUAAAUAAAAAUAAAAACUUCUAAAGCAAACUCUAUUCCUUUAUAAAUACUGUCUAAACGUGCCAGUGGUGUGUCCAAUUUUAGACACAAGAGCUUAAAGUUGAAUGCAAAUUUUGAUUUUCUUUAUAAAUGAGAUGAUGAAAAUCUAUUGUGAAAAGGUUAUGAGAAAAAAGCUUAUCUUGUAAUUGCAGCCAAGAUCCAAGCCAUUAUUUAAGACGUGAAGCAUUUGGCAACAAAGAGAUUGUUGUCAUUAAAAAGGAAGCCCAACGCAUUAUUCUUGGGCUGAGAAAAAAUAAUUUAGCUGUCAUUGUUAUUUAAGGAGUAACACCGGAAGAUGGGAGACAUUAAAAUAAGCAGCUUUACCUCAAGAAGUGUAAUAUCUUCUUUUCCCUCUAAGAUGCAGAGGUAGUUAAUAAACAUUUGAUGAUUGAUUUAAACAUAUUAGAGAGAGAUUCACUUGUUAGUAUUUAUCAUCUAGCUAAAUUGUAUUUUUUUAAUGUAUACAACUGAGAUGAAGCCAAUAGAACUUUACCACAGUGGUUGUAAAGAGAUAAGAAAUUAUUAUUUCUCAUUAUACCAUCAGCAGACUGAGGUCUGUAACUUGAUACUUAUGCAAAAGAUUACUAAAUUGGUAGCUAUUCUUAUAAAAUAUUCACUUUAGGAAAGAAGGUGAGAAUGAGGCCACUGACGUCAUCUUGGCUUGGUUUACUUAAGCCUGGGCAAAGAGGGAAAAGGGCACUGGAGAUUU
rnacentral:lncRNA from 1 species